GGUCAAGCUAAUUAGGGCUAAUGGU
rnacentral:rRNA from 3 species